AGUCUAUUCAGAUAUAGAGAGAGAGAGAGAGACAGAGACAGAGAGAGAGAUGAUGAUGAUGAGCAGCGGCUGCAUCACACUUCCUAAGGGUCUCCGAUUCCUGCCCUCCGACGAGGAGCUGGUGAGUGAUUACUUGGAGAAGAAGAAUCAGCAGAAGGAUCCCGAAAUCAAGGCCAUCAUCUCUGUAAUCAAUGUGUGCGAGCACGGGCCUAGCGACUUAGCAGGUCGAGACUUGAGAGUUGUGUCGCAAUUUUGCAGCUCUGGUACCAAGGGUGAAAUUUCUGGACGGGGAGUGGGAAUUCACCAUGGCGGACUCUCCGGACAUGGAGCUGUACUUCUACAGUCCGCGAGUUUUUAAACACAGCACAAGCAAAAGCACUCGGUCCAACAGGAAAACGGAGGAAGGCUACUGGAAGAAGCAAGGCAAGGACCGCAGAAUCACUCGGGCACGUUCUGAUGAGCAGAUCGGGGGGAAGAGGAUCUUGACCUUCUACCUGCGGGAUAAACAGAAGACUGACUGGGUUAUCCAUGAGUAUUAUCUCACUAAGGCGAAUUCUGAUGAGCAGAUCGGGGACUUUGUUCUAUGCCGCUUGAAGAACAAGUCAGGCAAGUCUGAUCAUGAUCAGCAGGAUGAUCCACUGUGCGAUGGAGGUGAACCUAAUAGUGGUAGCUGCAGUAUGGUCUCCAAUGUUGAAGAUCAAGGAUCCAAAGAGCUGGGAACUGUUCUUCCGAUUCCCAAGGGCACUAAUGAUGAAGCUGAACAUGGUGGCGGUAGCUGCAGUAUGGCCUUUGAUGUUGAAAAUCAAGCAUCCAAACACCUGGAAAAUGAUCUUCCGAUUCCCAAUGGCAAUGAUAAUGAAGCUGAACAUGAUAAGGAUGCCCCAUUCUUCGAUCGAGGUAGCACUAGCUGCAGUAUGGCCUCCAAUGUUGAAAAUCAAGCUGAAGAAAAUUGGGCAUCCAUUGAGCAGGUUAAUGUCGUUCCAAUUCCCAAUGGAAAUGGUGAUGAAGCUGAAACUGGUGGUGGUAUGAUUACAGAAGAAGAGGAAUACCUGGCUUUAAAGGAGCUGGAAAAUGCUCUUCAGAGUCCUAUUGGCAAUCCUCAUGAAUUCCAAGGCACGCAAACUGAUCCUUGUCAUAUAGAUAAGAAUGAUCUUUCGACCUCUGUUGAAGGCCGACCUGAUAAGAGCAAUUUGUCUGAUAUGAUUGAAGAGCUACUAGAUGACCCAGAAAAUCUGGAUUCACUCUUUGAUACGCCUGAGCCACCUCAACUGCAUCAGCCACCAAUGUAUACCACCAAUGACCAUAAUGAUGAAUGUCGUAAGAGGGCAUAUCCAUUUGAGGACAAUGAGCCUUCUCUUGUGAAGAAGAAUAAUAUUUCAACCAAUGACGACGACGAAUUAGUUAGCAAGACCGCAUCCAGUUCGGAAAAUCAAGCUGCAAAUAUCAAUAUGAUUCAAGAGAGAUAUUCUCAACAAGGAGUAAAUCUGGGAUCAGACUUUGAUUCAUUUCUGCCGAAGGAUUACGAUUAUACACUACCAUCAAUAAACGGAGGACCGGGAGAUUUUCCCCAUGACAAUAAUUUUAUUGAGUGGGAUGAUUUGCCAUCCUUAUACGAAGGUAUGGACUAUUCUCCCGCAAAGUUCUCACAUACAGUUAUUGAUGGUGGCAAAGGAGUAACCAGUGACGGAAACACCGAAGUAGUAGAUGGAUCGGUAAACGAUUAUUCUGCAUUAGCCACUGGAGCAACGCUCCAAUGUAGCUAAUCAACCUUUAUUUAUAGAAGAAUAUGAAAAGGACGAAUGCAUAUGGUUCAAAUGCCAUCUGGAAGUCUACCCUUCUCUGGAUGUGACGAGUCCAGGCGUAUAAAGAUGUCUAUUCUCAUAAGCAGUUCCUUGGAGGUGGAGCUUCCUCUGUCAACAUUACUACCUAAAUUCAUUCCUCAGAUUGUCUUGUCAACAGAAGUACCAAUAUUCCUUCCUCUGAUCAAACAUCGUGUCAACCUAAGUAUCGAUAUCUGUUCCUCAUAUCCAUAGUUUUCAAAUGUCCUAAAAUCAAAGGACAUACCUAUCCACAUCCAUUUCUUCAGAUCCCAGUAGUGAAUCCUCAGGACCACCAAUAGUCGUUCCUCAAACAAUCAGCCUGCAAUUAGUAUGUCCUUGAGAUCAAGGGACAUAUUCAAAACAUCAAUAUCAUCCAAUAUCCAGUCAUGGAGUCAAACAUGGGAGGUGCUCCUAGAAGAAUCCGACUGCAGAGCAGCAUCACAAGCCAAGGUCAGUGAAGCUGCAGAGGCAGUAUAUUGCUAUUUACUGCCCCAGAAGAAACUGAAAGUCCUUGAAACAGACAACAGUUUGAAGCUGGCAGCAAUUUAAAGGAUUCUUUCAUUUUCCAGGAUGCAUCUCCUUUCAAUCCGUAAAGCAUAUCUUUCAGACCAAAGUCACAGUUCUAGCCUAAAAGACCACUGCGGGCAACGCAACUGUUGCAUAGUCAGUAAUUUGGAAGCAGAGUUUCAUAGGACCUGCUGCUACACGGUUGCUGGAGUCUCAAAGACAUAUUAGUAAUAAUCAGAUAGCAGUAUUCUAUAUGGUUACAAUCAUUUCCAAAAUGUAUGAAUACAAUCAAAGGUCAUAGUGAGACCUUCAGACCAAGUCCGAACACCUCAUGCCUAAAACCAAAUAUUGUAUUACUCAUCGUAUCGUUCUUGUUUGUAUUACACUAUUACCCUAAUAUUCUGGAAGAUACUGUUCAUUAUGAAGCUUUAAUGUUUAAUGGAAUUGUGUGUAUGUUAUUCCCUG